rnacentral:rRNA from 1 species
AUUGAACGCUGGCGGAAUGCUUUACACAUGCAUGUCGAACGGCAGCACGGGGGCAACCCUGGUGGCGAGUGGCGAACGGGUGAGUAAUACAUCGGAACGUGCCCAGUCGUGGGGGAUAACUACGCGAAAGCGUAGCUAAUACCGCAUACGAACUCUGGUUGAAAGCGGGGGAUCGCAAGACCUCGCGCGAUUGGAGCGGCCGAUGGCAGAUUAGGUAGUUGGUGGGGUAAAGGCUCACCAAGCCGACGAUCUGUAGCUGGUCUGAGAGGACGACCAGCCACACUGGGACUGAGACACGGCCCCGACUCCUACGGGAGGCAGCAGUGGGGAAUUUUGGACAAUGGGCGCAAGCCUGAUCCAGCCAUUCCGCGUGCAGGAUGAAGGCCCUCGGGUUGUAAACUGCUUUUGUACGGAACGAAACGCGCCGGGUUAAUACCCUGGCGUAAUGACGGUACCGUAAGAAUAAGCACCGGCUAACUACGUGCCAGCCGCCGCCGUAAAAC